GGCCUGGGAACAGUGGGUUAACUGCCUGUUCAGGGGCAGAACGACAGAUUUGUACCUUGUCAGCUCGGGGGUUUGAACUUGCAACCUUCCGGUCACUAGUCCAACACUCUAACCACUAGGCUACCCUGCCGCCCCUCCACUCUAACCACUAGACUACCCUGCCGCCCCUCCACUCUAACCACUAGGCUACCCUGCCGCCCCUUCACUCUAACCACUAGGCUACCCUGCCACCCCUCCACUCUAACCACUAGGCUACCCUGCCGCCCCUCCACUCUAACCACUAGGCUACUUGCCGCCCCUCCACUCUACCCACUAGGCUACCCUGCCUCCACUCCCCUCUAACCACUAGUCUACCCGGCCGCCCCUCCACUCUAACCACUAGGCGACCCUGCCGCUCCUCCACUCUAACCACUAGGCUACCUUGCCGCCCCUACACUCUAACCACUAGGCUACCCUGCCGCCCCUCCACUCUAACCACUAGUCUACCCUGCCAGCCCACCACUCUAACCACCAGGCUACCCUGCCACCCCUCCACUCUAAACACUAGUCUACCCUGCUGCCCCUCCACUCUAACGACUAGUCUCCCCUGCCGCCCCUCCACUCUAACCACUAGUCUACCCUGCCCCCUCCACUCUAACCACUAGACUACCCUGCCUUCCCCUCCACUCUAACCACUAGUCUACCCUGCCACCCCUCCACUCUAACCACUAGGCUACCCUGCCGCACCUCCACUCUAACCACUAGGCUACCCUGCCACCCCUCCACUCUAACCACUAGGCUACCCUGCCGCCCCUCCCCUCUAACCACUAGGCUAGCUACCGCCCCUCCCCUCUAACCACUAGGCUACCCUGCCGCCCCUCCCCUCUAACCACUAGGCUAGCUACCGCCCCUCCCCUCUAACCAAUAGGCUACCGUGCCGCCCCUCCCCUCUAACCAUUAGGCUACCUACCGCCCCUCCCCUCUAACCACUAGGCUACCCUGCCGCCCCUCCCCUCUAACCACUAGGCUACCCUGCCACCCCUCCCCUCUAACCACUAGGCUACCUACCGCCCCUCCCCUCUAACCAAUAGGCUACCCUGCCGCCCCUCCCCUCUAACCAUUAGGCUACCUACCGCCCUCCCCUCUAACCAAUAGGCUACCCUGCCACCCCUCCCCUCUAACCAUUAGGCUACCUACCGCCCCUCCCCUCUAACCACUAGGCUACCCUGCCGCACCUCCACUCUAACCACUAGGCUACCCUGCCGCCCCUCCACCCCUCCACUCUAACCACUAGGCUACCCUGCCGCCCCUCCACUCUAACCACUAGACUACCCUGCCGCCCCCUCCACUCUAACCUCUAGACUACCCUGCCGCCCCUCCACUCUAACCACUAGACUAACCUGCCGCCCCUCCACUCUAAACACUAGUCUACCCUGCCGCCCCUCCCCUCUAACCAAUAGGCUACCCUGCCGCCCCUCCCCUCUAACCAUUAGGCUACCUACCGCCCCUCCCCUCUAACCACUAGGCUACCCUGCCACCCCUCCACUCUAACCACUAGGCUACCCUGCCGCCCCUCCACUCUAACCACUAGUCUACCCUGCCACCCCUCCACUCUAACCACUAGGCUACUACCCUGCCACACCUCCACUCUAACCACUAGUCUACCCUGCCGCCCCCCCCUCUAACCACUAGGCUACCCUGCCGCACCUCCACUCUAACCACUAGUCUACCCUGCCGCCCCUCCACUCUAACCACUAGACUACCCUGCCGCCCCUCCACUCUAACCACUAGUCUACUCUGCCACCCCUCCACUCUAACCACUAGGCUACCCUGCCGCACCUCCACUCUAACCACUAGGCUACCCUGCCCCUGCCCCUCCACCCCUCCACUCUAAACACUAGUCUACCCUGCCACCCCUCCCCUCUAACCAAUAGGCUACCCUGCCGCCCCUCCCCUCUAACCAUUAGGCUACCUACCGCCCCUCCCCUCUAACCACUAGGCUACCCUGCCACCCCUCCACUCUAACCACUAGGCUACCCUGCCUCCCCUCCUCUCUAACCAAUAGUCUACCCUGCCACCCCUCCACUCUAACCACUAGGCUACCUGCCGCCCCUCCACUCUACCCACUAGGCUACCCUGCCUCCACUCCCCUCUAACCACUAUUCUACCCUGCCGCCCCUCCACUCUAACCACUAGGCUACCCUGCCGCCCCUCCACUCUAACCACUAGGCUACCCUGCCGCCCCUCCACUCUAACCACUAGGCUACCCUGCCGCCCCUCCACUCUAACCACUAGUCUACCCUGCCGCCCCUCCACUCUAACCACUAGUCUACCCUGCCGCCCCUCCACUCUAACCACUAGUCUACCCUGCACCCCUCCACUCUAACCACUAGGCUACCCUGCCGCCCCUCCACUCUAACCACUAGGCUACCCUGCCACCCCUCCACCCCCACUCCCCUGCCGCCCCUCCACUCUAACCACUAGGCUACCCUGCCACCCCUCCACUCUAACCACUAGGCUACCCUGCCACCCCCCUCCACUCUAACCACUAGGCUACCCUGCCGCCCCUCCCCUCUAACCACUAGGCUACCCUGCCGCCCCUCCACUCUAACCACUAGGCUACCCUGCCGCCCCUCCACUCU
ensembl:lncRNA